GAUAAUCCCAGCACCCUUUGCUGACUCCUUUCUUGGACACAGCCUGCUUGCACCCAGGUGAAAUAAACAGCCUUGUUGCUCACACAAAGCCUGUUUGGUGGACUCUCUUCAUACAGAUGCGCGUGACACAAACCUUAAAAGAUGUUAAGUAACUUGCCCAAGGUCAUGCAGUAUCAGAACCAGGAUUCAAAACAGAAACUCAGACCUGUCUCAUGCCAAUGCUUGGGACUCUCAUCCACUACGGUUAGCCAUCUCCCCCAGAUGGAAAGAGUGGGAAACUUCUGCCAGAUCUUUCUGAUUCCAUGGGGUAGAUGUCUAGAUCUGACAGGGCUCAUCUCCAGUCGGAUGCAUGUCCACUGCCCCUUCCUCUCCCUGUCCUCUCAGCAAGAGUUGGGCCCAGUGGGCUUUUACAAAGUCAGGAGGAUCAUUUUAGCAUUAGCCUUUAUUCCCUGAACAAAACAGGCCCCUAGACAGUGAGGGCUUCUUAUAAAGUUGCCUGACUCUCCUUUGCUUUGGGUUCCGGGAUAGACUCAAAACCUCUUGAGUAUAAAAUUCUGUAACUUCCACUCUGUCUUCAUUAUGUGAGAUGUUCAGAAAGUUCAUUUUAAGAGGAUCUUAAUGCUGCCUAUCAGAUAAGAAUGUUAUGUAUAAAAUUAGAUAUUUUAAUACAAGCAAGCCUGGACUUGUACAGACAAAUUUCUCACCUCUUCCACAGAGGACAAUAGACUUCUGAAAAAGGUGCUGUAUUGUCAAAGGUACGUUUUAUAUUUGUAGCUAGUCUCAUAGGCCUAGCUUUCGAAGACGGGUAAGGUAAAAGAACCAGAAAACAAAGUCGAAAUGGUGUCCCCAGUGGCAUGGUCUCGGCUCACGGCAACCUCUGCCUCCCAGGUUCAAGCGAUUCUCCUGCCUCAGCCUCCCGAGUAGCUGGGAUUACAGACGCGUACCACCAUGCCCGACCAGCCACUGGUGGAAGCAAGUUCCACUAUGGGAAGCUCAUCUUGCACUUCUAUUAUCUGGAUGAGGUUGCUUUAUUUUAAAAGUCUCUCUUAGGAAUUCUGCCCUGCUUGGAAUUUCUACGCCUUUUUCAAAAUUUCUAAUUCUUUUUCUAUCAAUCUCUGACCUCAGUCUUCUGGUUUUAAGUGCAUUGCCCACUUUGACUGGUACCCACUCACUGGGAGGAGGCGUAAGCUGCCACGUGCCCAGCCUACAAUUCCUUUUUUCAAUCCAUCUUCCUUUUUUCACAUUUGACUAUAAGCAGGACAGCCUUUGAUAUUUCCAGAGUCAAUACCUGCUUUCCAUUCUCCACAGCAUCUAAUAUAAGUCAUGGCUUCUCAUCUGUCCUGCUUCCCCGCUUCGCGUUCACCACUGUGAGCACAACUCCAGCUGCACACGCAAUGACAGCUCCUGUUGGGUUCUCUCCUCCUCAUGCCUCCUCCCGUCCCUGGUUGCCACUCCUUUCCUCUGUCCCUCCACCCCUUGGGGUGGUAACAGCUUCCCACUGCUGCCAGACUCUGGGUGCCAUGACACCCGUAUAUCCCGCUUCUCCCACACAAAGUGGGUGCCCUAAGAUUCAAUUCAAUCCUGACACUAACAAAGUUAGCACGGAUCCCAUAGCCUAAGCGGCGGCUCUGUCCCACAAGACUGCCUCACCUCUGAUGCCAGCCACAAGUUCCAGGUCUCCAGAUGACUACCGCUUCUAUUUGACUUGGCUACAAAUUCAGGGGUUUCCGGCCCCACCUCAAAAAGUAUAAUAUAAUGUACUUUCAUUAUAAAGAAUAUAAAAGUAUAAUAUACUUUUAUUAAAAAGAAUAUAAUAUAUAUAAAGAACAGCCAAAUCACGAGAUGCAUAAGAAUACCCCCAAGCCUCAUUUUUCAGAGUUUUUCUAGAAGUUUUAUUACUUAGAGAUGAUUGAUUAAAUUAUUGGCCAUUGGUGACUGAACUCAGUCGCAGCCCCUCCCCUAAAGCUAUCUGGGGGCCCACCAACAGUUACCUCAUUAGCAUAAACUCAGAUGUAGUCAGAAGGGGCUUGUUAUAGAUAACAAAAUACACUCCUAUGGCUCAGGAAAUCUCAAGAGUUUUAGGAGCUCUGUGCCAGGAACCGGGGGACAAAGACCAAAAGCAGGACGCUGGCAGACACAGCGGGCCGUCCUGCGUGCCCACACGUGGUGCCAUCAGCGCAGCAUUUAUGGCCCCACAUACUCCUGUAUCCCCACCAUUCUAGCCAGGUGCCUGGCUCACAGUGGUCGGCAAUGGUUUUUAAAAUGGAUCAGUGAGUGUUUGCAUCUCUUAUUCUGGGCAUAAAUUCAUUCAGCACCUUGUAUGUCAGAGACUGCUGUAGGUGCUGAACACAGGGACCUGGGGAACAAUGGUUUAUUUGAUCCUUAGCAUUUUCCAGCUACUGGGAAGACUCCACCAUUGGUGAGAACAGAAGCCCCACAGACUCUUCUCUCUGUCUGAGAGGUGAGGGAGUGGAGAUUAGGGGUUCCAACUCCGCCUGGCUCAAAUUCUGCCUCCACACUCCCCUGCACAAGUUACUUAACUCGGUUUCUACUUGCCUUAGUUUCUGCAUUUAUAAAAUGAGGUGAGAAUAAUACUAAUACCUCUUAGAAUUGAUUCAAGGAGCAAAUGAACACUUACAGCCUGUCAUCAAUACUAAUAAAUAUAAACUGCCAUUACUUUUUCUCCUUUAUAAUAUCCUUUAUGGGGUAAAAAUAAGAAGAUAUGUCU
rnacentral:lncRNA from 1 species